UGGGGAAUAUUGCACAAUGGGCGAAAGCCUGAUGCAGCGACGCCGCGUGAGGGAUGACGGCCUUCGGGUUGUAAACCUCUUUCAGCAGGGAAGAAGCGAAAGUGACGGUACCUGCAGAAGAAGCGCCGGCUAACUACGUGCCAGCAGCCGCGGUAAUACGUAGGGCGCAAGCGUUGUCCGGAAUUAUUGGGCGUAAAGAGCUCGUAGGCGGUUAGUCGCGUCUGCUGUGAAAACUCGAGGCUCAACCUCGGGCUUGCAGUGGGUACGGGCUGACUAGAGUGCGGUAGGGGUGACUGGAAUUCCUGGUGUAGCGGUGGAAUGCGCAGAUAUCAGGAGGAACACCGAUGGCGAAGGCAGGUCACUGGGCCGCAACUGACGCUGAGGAGCGAAAGCAUGGGGAGCGAACAGGAUUAGAUACCCUGGUAGUCCAUGCCGUAAACGUUGGGCACUAGGUGUGGGGUCCAUUCCACGGAUUCCGUGCCGCAGCAAACGCAUUAAGUGCCCCGCCUGGGGAGUACGGCCGCAAGGCUAAAACUCAAAGGAAUUGAC
rnacentral:rRNA from 1 species